rnacentral:rRNA from 1 species
UACGGGGGGGGGCAAGCGUUGUUCGGAAUUACUGGGCGUAAAGGGCGCGUAGGCGGUGCGGUAAGUCUGUAGUGAAAUCUCUGGGCUCAACUCAGAGUCUGCUAUAGAAACUGCCGUGCUCGAGUGUGGGAGAGGUGAGUGGAAUUCCCGGUGUAGAGGUGAAAUUCGUAGAUAUCGAGAGGAACACCGGUGGCGAAGGCGGCUAUCUGGACAGUGACUGACGCUGAGACGCGAAAGCGUGGGGAGCAAACAGG